rnacentral:rRNA from 1 species
UAUGACUCUCGGCAACGGAUAUCUAGGCUCUUGCAUCGAUGAAGAAAGUAGCAAACUGCGAUAGUUGGUGUGAAUUGCAGAAUCUCAUGAACCAUGGAGUCUUUGAACGCAAGUUGCGCUCGAAGCUAUUAGGUCGAGGGCAUGUUUGCUUGGGCGUUACGCACUGCGUCGGCCCCCCUCACG